rnacentral:lncRNA from 1 species
UCUCCCAAGAGCUACGUGUAAAACAUGGUAUGUUCUGCACGUUUUAAUUUAGCCACAUUGAUUCCAUUGAUGCCUUGUCAGAUACUCUGAAGCCUGAGGCUUCAUCAGCCACACAGGACAGAUCAGAGAUGGGCCCUCUGACUUUUUGACCCUGAUUAUUCUUUCUUUUUAUUCUGGUUUUCUCUUGGCAUUAUAGAAUGAUGUGGAGAAGGAGAUCUGGGGAAAGGGAAAGGAAGAGAACAAGGAGGAGGGAGUAAGAGGUCAGAGCUCACACAUACACAAGAACAAAAGGACUGCAAAUUGGGAUGUCUCUCCACAGCAACCUUCCCUUCUUCCCUUUGAAAAGUCGAUGCUGAACCAUCUGUCAUCUCUCAGGGACUCCAGCUCCAGGCUGGCUUGGACCAAGUGAGAGCUGCCUAGCCAGUCACUCAUCAGUCCGUCCUAGGGCUGCCUCUGUGCAUUCAUCCUGCUUUCCCCAGGUGGGACAUUCCGCUGCCUUUGGGGCUUCACACCCCAAUUAUUUAUUAAGGAGACAGAAAAGAAUUGUUGAUAAAGGCCGUGGCUGGAGAGCAGGAAGUAGCCAUGGGCUGCUGCAGGGGUGGGCUCCUGCUUAGCAAAUGUUAGACCAGGUUUGUCUUGCUGCUGUUUUUAUUUUGUUUGGACACUUUUUACUGUUGUUAUUUCACACAUCCAAAGAUGAUAUGUGCCCUAAUUGCAUUUCCACAGCACCUUUGACAAUUCUGAGAAUCUAUUAAUUUUUUAAAUUCAAGCCUUGGCAUUAGAGGUUCCUACAAUAUUUGAGUCUGGUUUGUAUGUGAAGGUGGGUUGGGGUUGAGGAGUCUGUGAAUAAUAUAUGCAAUUUAUAACUAUCUGUGAAACUGAAAAUAAAAUAGGUUGUAUGUGCAUGUCUGUGUGUGUGUGUGUGUGAGUGUGUAUGAGAGAGAGAGAGAGUGAGUAUGUUGGGGGAAAAGAGUGACUGUAUUUACAUCCUCUAUUUGGAAUUUAGAGUUUUAAGUGAAAGUUGG